CACAUCUAGGCAAAUCAAGAAGCAGAGAGUGAACAUAAUGUCCCCGUGAUGAACCAUAAAUGCCUACUGGAAAUUGAUGAGAGCAAUUGGAUUCAACACCAGAUGGGGAAUUCUGAUUCACUCUGUCUGGAAGGGAGCCUAAGAAUUUGCA